UGGAGCAUGUGGUUUAAUUCGACGCAACGCGAAGAACCUUACCUGGGCUUGACAUCCCGAUCGCACCUUAUGGAAACAUAGGGGUCAGUUCGGCUGGAUCGGUGACAGGUGCUGCAUGGCUGUCGUCAGCUCGUGUCGUGAGAUGUUGGGUUAAGUCCCGCAACGAGCGCAACCCUUGUCCUUAGUUGCCAGCAUUCAGUUGGGCACUCUAAGGAGACUGCCGGUGUCAAACCGGAGGAAGUGGGGAUGACGUCAAGUCCUCAUGGCCCUUAUGUCCAGGACUACACACGUGCUACAAUGGCCGGUACAAAGGGGCGCAAGACCGCGAGGUGGAGCAAAUCCCAAAAAACCGGUCUCAGUUCGGAUUGGAGUCUGCAACUCGACUCCAUGAAGUUGGAAUCGCUAGUAAUCGCGUAUCAGCAUGACGCGGUGAAUACGUUCCCGGGCCUU
rnacentral:rRNA from 1 species